UACGUAGGGUGCAAGCGUUGUCCGGAAUUAUUGGGCGUAAAGAGCCCGUAGGCGGUUUGUCGCGUCUGCUGUGAAAACUCGGGGCUUAACUCCGGGCCUGCAGUGGGUACGGGCAGACUAGAGUGCGGUAGGGGAGAUUGGAAUUCCUGGUGUAGCGGUGGAAUGCGCAGAUAUCAGGAGGAACACCGACGGCGAAGGCAGGUCUCUGGGCCACUACUGACGCUGAGAAGCGAAAGCAUGGGGAGCGAACAGG
rnacentral:rRNA from 1 species